rnacentral:rRNA from 1 species
GACGAACGCUGGCGGCGUGCUUAACACAUGCAAGUCGAACGGAAAGGCCCUGCUUUUGUGGGGUGCUCGAGUGGCGAACGGGGGAGUAACACGUGAGUAACAUCCCCUUGACUUUGGGAUAACUUCAGGAAACUGGGGCUAAAACCGGGUAGGAGCUCCUGCUGCACGGGGGGGGUUGGAAAGAUUCGGCGGUGGGGGAUGGACUAGCGGCUUAUCAGCUUGUUGGUGGGGUAGUGGCUUACCAGGGCUUUGACGGGUAGCCGGCCUGAGAGGGUGACCGGCCACAUUGGGACUGCGAUACGGCCCAGACUCCUACGGGAGGCAGCAGUGGGGAAUAUUGCACAAUGGGCGGACGCCUGAUGCAGCAACGCCGCGUGCGGGAUGACGGCCUUCGGGUUGUAAACCGCUUUCGCCUGUGACGAAGCGUGAGUGACGGUAAUGGGUAAAGAAGCACCGGCUAACUACGUG